rnacentral:rRNA from 1 species
GACGAACGCUGGCGGCGUGCUUAACACAUGCAAGUCGAACGGAAAGGCCUGCUUUCCCUUGUGGAUUGCGGGUACUCGAGUGGCGAACGGGUGAGUAACACGUGAGUGAUCUGCCCCCAACUUGGGUAUAAGCCUGGGAAACUGGGUCUAAUUCCCGAUAGGACUGCAGGGUGGUGCCUGUGGUGGAAAACGAUUUUCUAGUGGUUGGGGAUGAGCGCGCGGCCUAUCAGCUUGUUGGUGGGGUAAUGGCCUACCAAGGCGGCGACGGGUAGCCGGCCUGAGAGGGUGGACGGCGACAUUGGGACUGAGAUACGGCCCAGACUCCUACGGGAGGCAGCAGUGGGGAAUAUUGCACAAUGAGCGGAAGCCUGAUGCAGCGACGCCGCGUGGGGGAUGACGGCCUUCGGGUAGUAAACUCCUUUCGACCGCGAGGAAGCCACCUGGUUGGGAAGGUGGUGACGGUAGUGGUAGAAGAAGCACCGGCUAACUACGUG